ensembl:snRNA U6 U6 spliceosomal RNA
GUGCUUGCUUCAGCAGUACAUAUACUACAAUUGGAACUACACAGAGAAGAUUAGCAUGGCCCUGCACAAGGAUGACACGCAAACUCAUGAAGCAUUUCAUGUUUCC